rnacentral:lncRNA from 1 species
ACACAUCAAUGGACUAGACCACCAGCUAUGGUAGUUUAAAGCUAACGUAAGGUUCGUCAUCUUCAACCACCUGAAAGAGAAAAGCUUGAUCUUAUCCAAUAAAAUAUGAGGUGUGCCCGUUGAGCCCUUGAACAACCGAUGAUUUCUCUCUGUCCAUAACACCCAAACACAAGCGAGCCAAACAAGCUGCAAAAAGGACCGUCUCGCCCGAGAUCCACCUAAUAAAGCCGUAAACUGAACAAAAUGAUCACGCAGAGAAGUGGAAUCCACCAAGGAAGUGCCAAUCCAUGCGCGAACUAAAUCCCACAGCGAUCCAGCAAUACUACAAGAUAGAAAUAAAUGAUGAG